rnacentral:rRNA from 1 species
UACGUAGGGGGCAAGCGUUGUCCGGAAUCAUUGGGCGUAAAGCGCGUGUAGGCGGCCCGGUAAGUCCGCUGUGAAAGUCGGGGGCUCAACCCUCGAAAGCCGGUGGAUACUGUCGGGCUCGAGUACGGGAGAGGCGAGUGGAAUUCCUGGUGUAGCGGUGAAAUGCGCAGAUAUCAGGAGGAACACCGAUUGCGAAGGCAGCUCGCUGGGACGUUACUGACGCUGAGACGCGAAAGCGUGGGGAGCAAACAGG